CCUACGGGUGGCAGCAGUGAGGAAUAUUGGUCAAUGGACGAGAGUCUGAACCAGCCAAGUAGCGUGAAGGAUGACUGCCCUAUGGGUUGUAAACUUCUUUUAUAUGGGAAUAAAUUGUUCACCGUGUGGGAUUUUGUAUGUACCAUAUGAAUAAGGAUCGGCUAACUCCGUGCCAGCAGCCGCGGUAAUACGGAGGAUCCGAGCGUUAUCCGGAUUUAUUGGGUUUAAAGGGAGCGUAGGUGGAUUGUUAAGUCAGUUGUGAAAGUUUGCGGCUCAACCGUGAAAUUGCAGUUGAAACUGGCAGGCUUGAGUACAGUAGAGGUGGGCGGAAGUCGUGGUGUAGCAGUGAAAUGCUUAGAUAUCACGAAGAACUCCGAUUGCGAAGGCAGCUCACUGGACUGCAACUGACACUGAGGCUCGAAAGUGUGGGUAUCAAACAGGAUUAGAUACCCUUGUAGUC
rnacentral:rRNA from 1 species